rnacentral:rRNA from 1 species
UACGAAGGGGGCUAGCGUUGUUCGGAAUUACUGGGCGUAAAGGGCGCGUAGGCGGCUGUCCAAGUCAGAUGUGAAAGCCCCGGGCUUAACCUGGGAGUUGCAUUUGAGACUGGGCGGCUUGAGUUUCGGAGAGGUGGGUGGAAUUCCCAGUGUAGAGGUGAAAUUCGUAGAUAUUGGGAAGAACACCGGUGGCGAAGGCGGCAUCCUGGACCGGCAUUGACGCUGAGGCGCGAAAGCCAGGGGAGCAAACAGG